rnacentral:tRNA from 1 species
GGGGAUAUAGCUUAGUGGUACAGUACUUGCCUGGCAUGCACAAAGACCUAGGUUCAACCCCUAGUACCUUA